GGGAUAUUGAUUCACACUGAACAGAUGCAGCAGUUAUAUCUGUAGGGAAAACAUAGCUGUUGCUUGCAGUUUGGCACCACACUGUAUAGUAUUUGGGAAAUUUCUCAUUUCAAGCUAAAGGCUGGUUUAAAUUGGACUGGGAGAUGCACAGGCCCCUAAUAUAUAGUAUAGACAAGAACAGGUUUUUGCAAACCAAAAGGCCCCAAGGGCCUCUCUAUCCACCAAGCCACACCCCUAAUGGGCCUUGCUCUGGGCCUUCAAGUGCUCUUGCCUGGCCAGAAUGUGUUCUUCAACUAUUAUAAUGCCUCUUUGCUGACUUGGAUGGAGAAGGAAAAGAGAUGUAGACAUGGCAGGGCAGGAACAUAGCCCUCCCUACAAAGAUUAAUCUGGAAAUGGGCUGGAGUGCACUUAUGAAUGAACAUAAACAACAGUGACAUGGGGUAGAAAUGAGACUAAUAUGUCCACUUUCUGGGAACUACUGGGCCCCACUGCUUCAGACAUGAGAACCAGAGGGAAAAUGGAAAUCAAGGAAGAACACUACCUUGAGAACAUAAAACCAGGAUCAGAUUAUAAACUUAAUCCCAGGAACAUAAGCCUUCAGAAAAAAAUUCCUGGAUUGAAGUUGCUUCAGUUUUGGAGAUCCGAAUCUGACCCUCCAUUUCCACCCUGCAAACAAUAUCUUAAGGAAGCGAGUGUGACAGAAAAAUCUUGCAUCAUUAAAAGUAAUGCCUCUUCAUAAAAAUAGUCAUACAUAUUGCCCGUUGUUUCUGAACAUGAAUUCAAUCAUCUUUUGAAAUAGGUAUGCCUGAGCAAACUUCCCAGAUUUUAAUUUCAAAGGCAAUAUUACAUGCUGUUUUCCACA